GUUCUUCUGGGCUAUCUGGCAGAGCACAGGGAGAGGCCACUACUUAUACAGGUGAGUGUACAACAACGUCUUUACUGUUGUGAUGAUUUAUGUGUAUUUAUGACAAUGUUGUUAACUGUGUGUGCGUGCGUGCGUGCGUGAGUGAGUGCGUGCGUGCGUGAGUGAGUCCAGGGGCUGCAGUUGCUGUGCCAGAGCUGGAUAGAUAUAUCAGCUGACCAGGAGACGAGCCAUGCUGUUUGGAGGCCUUCCUCUCCUCUGAGGGUGGAGCUCAGUCUGAGAGCUGUUGAGGGACUGGUUAGGAAGAACACUUCUACACCCCGAGAGUGCUUAUGCAUUUUUGGUGGCCUGACUGCAUCCAGACUAUGUCAAAUUCCGAACACAAUUCCCUCCCUGGCAGAUAUGAACUUAAUGCGAGUACAAUGUGACUUUCGUGCAUCCAGACCUAAUGCAGCUUGGAGUGAUUGGAAGACAGAAGUCGCAUUUAAGUGCUUGGUGUAACCGAGGCCAUACAGCAGACGCACCAUAUCCAUUACUUUGAGAGUUUGAUUUAAUAUAACUGUUUGUGUUUGUAUUGCAAGGCCACAAAGCAUGCCCCUGGUAGAGCCAGGGGCGCUGUUUACCAAGCCACCACCACACGCCUUCAGCAGGCCGGAAAAGUGGGAUUAAUCUAUUUGUCUUUGUUUGAUCCAUUUGUUUGUUUCAGUUUUCGUAGUUGAAUACUUUGACCUAAUUUUCAACAAAAAUGCACUGAAUAGGUAGAAAAGUGAUACUAAACUUAAUUACCAUGCACAAUUUUGACAUAGUGGAAGAGAGACUAUAUAUACAAAAGUAUGUGGACACCCCUUUAAAUGAGUGGAUUCAGCUAUUUCCUCCACAACCGUUGCUGACAUAGACCAACAUUGGCAGUAUAAUGGCCUUACUGAGGAGCUCAGGGACUUUCAACGUCAAAUUCCUCCCCUACUAGAGUUGCCCCGGUCAACUGUAAGUGCUGUUAUUGUGAAGUGGAAACGUCUAGGAACAUCAACGGUUCAGCUGCAAAGUGGUAGGCCACACAAGCUCACAGAAUGGGACAGGCAGGUGCUAAAGUGCGUAAAAAUUGUCUGCCCAUGUUUACAACACUCAGUACCGAGUUCCAAACUGCCUCUGGAAGCAAUGUCAGCACAAAAACUGUUUGUUGGGAGCUUCAUGAAAUGGGUUUCCAUGGCCGAGCAGCCGCACACAAGCCUAAGAUCACCAUGCGCAAUGCCAAGAGUUGGCUGGAGUGGUGUAAAGCUCACCGCUAUUACACUCUGGAGCAAUGGAAAUGCAUUCUCUGGAGUGAUUAAUCAUUCUUUACCAUCUGCCAGUCAAAAGGACAAAUCUGUGUUUGGCGGUGUGGAAGAACUUGACUAACCUGCACAGAGCCCUGACCUCAAACCCAUCAAACACCUUAGGUAUGAAUUGAAUGCCAACUGCGAGCUAAGCCUAAUCGCCCGACCUCACUAAUGCUCUUGUGGCUGAAUGGAAGCAAGUCCUCGCAGAAAUGCUCCAACAUCUAGUGGAAAGCCUUCCCAUCAGAGUUGUCCACAUACUUUUGGUCAUGUUGUGUACAUACUGAAUUUAUACUGUUUUUCAUACAUAGAUGGACAAAGAUAUGUGUUGCUUUUACACAUAUUUGUAAAUAGGUUUUGCAAGAUUCAGUUCAUUGGGUCCAUUGUUUUUUGCAAUAUGAUGACAUUGGUUAAAAGAGUAAGAAUUUGAUAUAAUAUAAUUGUACAAAAACAUUCUCAGUUGGUUGCAUAAAUAAUGAUGAUUACUAAAUGCUACAUGAAAUGGAAAUAUCAAAACCGAAUAGAAACCUCUUUGUUAAUAUGUUUUGGCAAUAAUUAAUUUAAUGGUGAGGGAUGGAAUAAUAAAAAAUGUAUAUUUUGUCACGCUGGAUGUUUGAAAUAAUAAGUAAGUAUGAUGAUUUGAGACAUGGUUCUUCAGUAGUGGAAUAAAGACAUUUAGCACUUAAGUGUUGUAGAGAAAUACUGUUUGUAAAUACUGGGGUUGUAUGAUUGUUAAUAAAAUUGUACAUAUAGCAAUUUUAAAUAUUGCGUCAUGUGUAUAGGCUGCAAGUACAUUGAAAUUAAGUUGUUUUC